UACGUAGGGUGCAAGCGUUAAUCGGAAUUACUGGGCGUAAAGCGUGCGCAGGCGGUUGUGCAAGACAGAUGUGAAAUCCCUCGGCUUAACCGGGGAACUGCGUCUGAUACUGGAUGGCUUGAGUUUGGGAGAGGGGUGCGGAAUUCCAGGUGUAGCGGUGAAAUGCGUAGAUAUCUGGAGGAACACCGGUGGCGAAGGCGGCAUCCUGGACCAACACUGACGCUGAGUGAGCGAAAGCCAGGGGAGCAAACGGG
rnacentral:rRNA from 1 species